AGUGAACGCUGGCGGUAGGCCCAACACAUGCAAGUCGAACGGCAGCACAGUAAGAGCUUGCUCUUACGGGUGGCGAGUGGCGGACGGGUGAGGAAUACAUCGGAAUCUACUUUUUCGUGGGGGAUAACGUAGGGAAACUUACGCUAAUACCGCAUACGACCUACGGGUGAAAGCAGGGGAUCUUCGGACCUUGCGCGAUUGAAUGAGCCGAUGUCGGAUUAGCUAGUUGGCGGGGUAAAGGCCCACCAAGGCGACGAUCCGUAGCUGGUCUGAGAGGAUGAUCAGCCACACUGGAACUGAGACACGGUCCAGACUCCUACGGGAGGCCGCAGUGGGGAAUAUUGGACAAUGGGCGCAAGCCUGAUCCAGCCAUACCGCGUGGGUGAAGAAGGCCUUCGGGUUGUAAAGCCCUUUUGUUGGGAAAGAAAAGCAGCAGGUUAAUACCCCGCUGUUCUGACGGUACCCAAAGAAUAAGCACCGGCUAACUUCGU
rnacentral:rRNA from 1 species